GAUGAACGCUGGCGGCGUGCCUAAUACAUGCAAGUCGAGCGAACAGACGAGGAGCUUGCUCCUCUGACGUUAGCGGCGGACGGGUGAGUAACACGUGGAUAACCUACCUAUAAGACUGGGAUAACUUCGGGAAACCGGAGCUAAUACCGGAUAAUAUAUUGAACCGCAUGGUUCAAUAGUGAAAGACGGUUUUGCUGUCACUUAUAGAUGUAUCCGCGCCGCAUUAGCUAGUUGGUAAGGUAACGGCUUACCAAGGCAACGAUGCGUAGCCGACCUGAGAGGGUGAUCGGCCACACUGGAACUGAGACACGGUCAAGACUCCUACGGGAGGCAGCAGUAGGGAAUCUUCCGCAAUGGGCGAAAGCCUGACGGAGCAACGCCGCGUGAGUGAUGAAGGUCUUCGGAUCGUAAAACUCUGUUAUUAGGGAAGAACAAAUGUGUAAGUAACUAUGCACGUCUUGACGGUACCUAAUCAGAAAGCCACGGCUAACUACGUG
rnacentral:rRNA from 1 species